GAUGAACGCUAGCGGCAGGCCUAACACAUGCAAGUCGAACGGUAACAGAGGGAGCUUGCUCCCUGCUGACGAGUGGCGCACGGGUGCGUAACGCGUAUACAAUCUACCUUUUACAGGGGGAUAGCCUUUAGAAAUGAAGAUUAAUACCCCAUGGUAUAAUUGUUUGGCAUCAAAUAAUUAUUAAAGUUUCGGCGGUAAAAGAUGAGUAUGCGUUCUAUUAGCUAGAUGGUUUGGUAACGGCAGACCAUGGCAACGAUAGAUAGGGGCCCUGAGAGGGGGAUCCCCCACACUGGUACUGAGACACGGACCAGACUCCUACGGGAGGCAGCAGUGAGGAAUAUUGGACAAUGGAGGCAACUCUGAUCCAGCCAUGCCGCGUGCAGGAAGACUGCCCUAUGGGUUGUAAACUGCUUUUAUACAGGAAGAAACACUCCCUCGUGAGGGAAUUUGACGGUACUGUAAGAAUAAGGAUCGGCUAACUCCGUGCC
rnacentral:rRNA from 1 species